CAAGUAGACUGGAUGGUCGCAGAUAGAGUUUGCUCUAUCUGAGGAAAGUCCGGGCUCUAUAGAGCAGGAUGCUGAAUAACAUUCAGCCGGAGUAAUCCGCGGGCCAGUGCAACAGAGAGGAGACCGCCUGUCUUUGGCAGGUAAGGGUGAAAGGGUGCGGUAAGGGCGCACCGGGUAUCUGGUGACAGAUACUGCAGGGUAAACCCCAUCCAGAGCAAGACUAAAUAGGAGAAGGUUAAGGGCUGCUCGUCCAGCUUCUCGGGUUAGUCGCUUAAGGCAGUAAGUAAUUACUGUCCUAGAUAGAUGAGCAUCUUAAAAGACAGAACCCGGCUUACAAGUCUGCUUGCCGA
rfam:Acetohalobium arabaticum DSM 5501, complete genome.